rnacentral:rRNA from 1 species
GAUGAACGCUGGCGGCGUGCCUAAUACAUGCAAGUCGAGCGAAUGGAUUAAGAGCUUGCUCUUAUGAAGUUAGCGGCGGACGGGUGAGUAACACGUGGGUAACCUGCCCAUAAGACUGGGAUAACUCCGGGAAAACGGGGCUAAUACCGGAUAAUAUUUUGAACUGCAGUGUUCAAAAUUGAAAGGCGGCUUCGGCUGUCACUUAUGGAUGGACCCGCGUCGCAUUAGCUAGUUGGUGAGGUAACGGCUCACCAAGGCAACGAUGCAUAGCCGACCUGAGAGGGUGAUCGGCCACACUGGGACUGAGACACGGCCCAGACUCCUACGGGAGGCAGCAGUAGGGAAUCUUCCGCAAUGGACGAAAGUCUGACGGAGCAACGCCGCGUGAGUGAUGAAGGCUUUCGGGUCGUAAAACUCUGUUGUUAGGGAAGAACAAGUGCUAGUUGAAUAAGCUGGCACCUUGACGGUACCUAACCAGAAAGCCACGGCUAACUACGUGCCAGCCGCCGCGGUAA